rnacentral:pre_miRNA from 1 species
UGUUGGUGAUGAUGAUGAUGGUGAUGAUGAUGAUGAUGAUGAUGAUGAUGAUGAUGAUAAGGAUCAUCAUCAUCAUCAUCAUCAUCCAUUUUUUUUU